rnacentral:lncRNA from 1 species
CUUUUCGAGGUAGGAGUCGACUCCUGUGAGGUAUGUUUUAUCUUUGCGAAUGUUGCGGGUUUUGGGGCGCUCCAGCCUUUGUCUGCUAAGGUCACCCUGAAUUGACUGGGACUUCUAAGCCAGUCGCGCGCCUUUGCAGGGCCUACAAGUUGAGGAUGGUGGGGGAUUGCACAUAUGGUGCAUGCGUGACCUAAGCUGCGACUAUGUUAGAGUAGAACUGCGGAGAAGCCUCGGCUCUCGUGCCCUGCCUCUGAUGAAGCCUGUGUUGGUAGGGACAUCUGAGAGUAAUGAUGAAUGCCAACCGCUCUGAUGGUGGCAC